UUGCCGCGAUUGUUGGAUGUGAAUUGAUCGGUCUUUCUUGCUCUUCAUUGCUCUGGAAGUAACACUUUGAGGUUGCAGCAUCGGAAACUUCCCGAUGGCUGGAUGGACUACGCUGCGAAACGAAUAGCACAACUGGGUGCAGCUAACUGUUCCAAGAACAUAUACUAUCGCCAAAGCCAUUGUUUUGGCCGCGCCAGUUUGAGACAGGUGGGAAACUUGGAAGACGGAGUUUGGAAAGGACAUAGAUGCUCGCGAUAUUGUCAUCUGAGACAAUGAGGCACCAGUGACCACGAAAUACACAAAGCAUGUUGCCAUGAAACGGAGUUUUCGGUUGAUGCUCGUGGAGUUGUAAGAAACCUGCUUGAGGUUGCAAAGGGAUCUGACACUGGAAAUGAACGAAAACUCAUGGCUUCCAUGGGAAAAGGAAACAAAUGGGGAGUGCUCAGCUUCUUUUUCCCGUGAAAAGUCUUGUUAUUUGCAAGAAGAAAAGUGAUGCCGGGCGAAGCACGAGAGGAUGAUACCACGCACUGUUCUGGUACUGA